ensembl:lncRNA
CUACCUUGAAAUCAAAUUGGAAACUGAGUGGAAAAAUAGUUCUCCUCUUGACCCUCUCUGCGUUUAUACUCCAAUCUACGCCCAACGCAUGGCUUUGUUGUACACUCUGUAUGAGUGCCCUCUAUAAUUAAACCUUUAUUCAAAUCUCCUCCUGCCUUCUUCAUCACCCUUGGUUAGAUCAAAACAGGAGAGGCAAAAAAAAAAAAGAAACUUGUCUGGGGUGCAGAAGCAGAGAGGAAGAGAUACUAUUUAAUGAAGCAGGCUAACGGUGGUGGGGAGAGAAAGUCUCAGUUCUCCCAUCUCAGAAACAUUGAGCCUGGAAAUAUUGCUGAAAUCACAUUUGGGAACAAAGCUCCGCUUUAAGUAGGCUCACCCAUGAGUGUUGCUAAGCAAUGGAGAGAAGGCGAGAGAGGGAGAGCGCCUAACUUCAGGAUUAGAAGGAUAGAUAGAAGGAAAACCACUAAGGCUUCUAUGUAGCCUUAUUUAAAGUCAGCUUCCAAGUCCUAUGUUUUUCUUGCCUGUCUUCUGACCUAUUUGCACCACAAUUAGUCAAAUAUGGUUCAGUAUCACCACGCAUCCAGCACAGAGUUGCGCCGCGUCCUGGAGCUCUGGCACAAGCAGUUACGCACCAGAACUGUCAACAUGUCUCCACUUUGAACAGGUAAGAGGUUGUGCCCUGUUCAAGAUUACUUAGGAACACAUGUUCCUUGUGAACGCUGUCAUGUUCAGUAAUAGACAUAAAUGAAUUAAUCAUUCCAGACAUUUCCAAGAAGGUUGGUGCCAAGAGACUAUGCAGCGAGUCUGCUUCUCCAGCUGGAUGGACACUUGCUCUCCCCAACCCUUACACCACAGUCACGCUAAGGGUGCGACACUGCCUUAGUUGGCACACCCUCAGAUAUUCCCCAGCCUUGGGAACCAAGUUUGUCAUUCUUAACCAUUCUUAAAAGUAGUACUUAUAAGCCCAAAAGAGCAAACAGCUAGCACUCUCUUUAGGGUGUCCCUCUUCCCACCCCCCUUUUUUUGGGGGGGGGGGGGGGGCAAGCUUUAAUAACCCAGAGGUGUGAACAGAUGAAAGUGAUUCUGCCAAAGCCAACAACUCAAAAUACAAAAUAAUUCUAUUCCCUGCCUGGUGACUUCUAAAUUUCCUUGGCUAGUCCUCAAAGUUUCUUGCAGAGACCAGAGGCCCUUAUCUGAUGGAAUUCAGCAUCAGUAACUUCAAAGUUGUGCUCUGCAGGCGUGAUGGGGAAAUCAAUCCAACCACGAUACGCAGUGAUUAGAUCAGCUAUUGCCACUCAGAAGAGAAAUGUGUGGACAGUCUUGUAUAAGCGUUAGCUCAGCAUUCAUCAACAAAGGAAAAAUGCAUCAGAGGAACAACACUUCAAGGAGCAGAGAAGGAAAGAAAAUACCUUCAUGUCUGUCACCACAAAUCCAUGGGAAUUUAAGAGCAGUCUCUGAAGUCCUACAGAACUGACAAACUACUCAUUUAGAGAGGCUCCACGCUGGGUGACUCCCAUGAUCUCCUUUUCUUUACAAACAGCAUUUCUUUUAAAAAGGCAUUGCCACCACUGCUGGUUUCAACACCACAAUCCCAGAGCAGCGGCAACAGAGCCCACAAAGGAACGUGGUCCUGAACAAGUCAACAGGCAUGGGUGAAAGGUCUGCAAGCAACGUCACGCUCCAAACCUCAACAGUUCACUUUUCUUUUGCACCAGUAUUUCUAUUUUUGCUCUGUGGCAAAAAUACCCAGAGGCAUUGGUUGGAGGGAUUUUUAAUCUAUGAUUUGUUUAACUUCAAAACAAUAAAUAAAAACUAAAAAUCAAUUAGAGCAGCCAGGAAGAGAGAGUGCUGCUUUUGUUGGCUGGAAAUGAAGAAGUUUAAUGUAUCCUUUCCUAAACAAACCUCCUCUAUACAUGAUUUUCUUGUAACAACAGGCAGGCUUCAAAAGACAUUUGGAGGUUUGGUUCAGGAUAGGAACCCAAAAGUUGAGAAAAUUCAGUUCUCUGCAAAACAGAGCUGGAAGUCUUGAGAACAGCAUGAGUGAAAUUUCCAGUGCUUCCCAUGUCUGCUCAAGCAGAGACAGUACUGUUAAAACAACCUCUCAGGCUGCUUUUCAGGAAACUGGCUAUUUUCUGCUGAACCAGCCAGAAACCAUUAAGUUCAAUACAUAAAAUAAUGAAAAGAGAAGUUGGCUGCCCUCAAAGGUAAACAGAGGUCAAGGUGGAGCUUGGCAUGCAGUUAUUCUUUGGUUAAAGAAAAAAGCUGCUCCAUGCAGAUCUGCUCAAAUUAAAAGAAAUAAUUUACAUAAAGUUUAUGAACUCAUCUGUUCAUCUUCCAGAAGUAAUUCAGUGGAUGAGAUUAUUAGCAGGGCCAUUAGCAGAUCUGAACUCUUUCUAGGAAAAAAAAGAUGAUUUGUAUGUCUAAUAAAAAUGAAACCAUAAUGUUCAGUUUCAAUUUGACCAACUAAUUGUAUAUAUACUUUCCAAAUUAAUAAAAAUGAACUUCAGUAGGUUCUACUCAGCAUCAAACAAGCCAUACACGUGAGAAAAUUAUGAGUUAUCAGUAAGCAAUGAGGUUAAAAUGCAGUGAAUAAAUCACUUCCAGAACCUAGAAAAGAUUCUGCAGGAUAUCUCAUCCAGACAGGUUUGCUAUUCCUUCACUGACAGUACUACAUCCUCUGCAGCCCUAACAGCUCCUGUGUUUAGACACCCAGGGAAAGGGUUGGGCAUAUUCAUAGCAUAAAUGAAUAGCAGGAAUGACAGACAAACAAGAUGUUCUUUCAGAGGCCUUGACUGACCGACCUCCUUCACAGGCCUCAAUACAAAAUCCACUGAAGGAGCGCAGGUGCUCAAAACCAGUAUUUGCAGGCCUCAAGUUUUAGAGCACGUACGUGGAGUUAAUAAAACUACCAGGACUCAGCCACUAAGUACAGUUUUCCUCUUUCCCUUCUCACCCUGCAGACAAUCCCAUUUUAAUUACUGCCUAACUCUCCACAUAACUUCAUUCCUCACUGUAGUCUUCAUUAUUCUCUUUUCUAGCCUCUUUCUCACCCCAAGGCAAGACUGAGAAAGCAAGGACUGUCAGAGAAAGAAGUUGGAGGGGAAGCCCUUCCCCAGAAGCUUGGGACAGAACAGAACAGGUUUUCAGAAAUCCCCUGCUUUCUCAUCUCAGACGGUGCCAGAGCAAAUAGCCAGAGAAAGCAAACACCUGAGCCCACGGCCAGGCUCCCCCUCACACACCCCACCGGCCUCCGCAGGCUGGUGGAUGCGAUCAGACAUGUUCCUAGCUCCAAGGGAUCCCUGAGUGAUAGAUUUUACAUCUCAACCUUCCAAAAAAAAGGUGAAGGUGAUCAAUCAGAAGUGCUAUUUGUUAUCAGUCCUAAGAGCUGCUUACGGUGCUACUGGCGGGAGGUGUAUUUUAAAUUUCAUCACCCACUGGAUAUCUGUCUUCUGCCUCUGUUAAUUCCCAAGGCUGAUCAGAGCAAUCUAGCUAUACCUAUGGCCUAGAGAGAUUUUGGAGCAGUGCAAGUCAAAACACCCUUGCCUUGCAAAAACAUUAAAAAUAGAUACUUUGAUUGCACUUAAAAAGGAAGCAUGCUUUGACCCAGACAAGUCCAGGCUAGAUUGCCCAUGACCUUGACUAAUCUUUUCUUGGCAUGUUUUUGAGUGCAUCAUCUCCCUUGAGCACAGCACAUGCAGCACUCCCAGUUCCUAAUGCAGCUCUUUUUUUUUCCCCCAGGCAUGCUCAGAUGAAGAAUUUGAAGCUAGGUUUUCCUUUAAGGGCAAGGGAGGACUAGAAGUUUAGAUAUCCACAGUAAAAUUCUGGGGACGAAGGAGAAGAGUGUAAAAUUGCAAAGUCCUGAUUGUAUAAGAACAAUGAAUAAGUUCCCAGAGGGAAGAUUAGAACAAGAAAGAGUGAUGAUGCUAGGAAGGAGGAAGCACUGGGAUAGGAAUCACCUCUCAGAAGAAGCUCUGUAUCCCAGAAGCAAGUCAAUUAGGAUUCCUUCCGAAAGGAAGGGUGCUGAGGCUUCAUCACAAAGCAGUAUUAGCCUCUGGCUUUGCACCUUCCUGACCUGCCCCACAAAAGCACCUACAAUCAUCAGUUGAACUGGUUCUGUAAGCAUUUCAGUCCUUGGAAUUUAUUGUUCACUCUUUCUUAGACAAGAUCCCAAUGUAUUUUUGCUGAAUCUAGAUUUAUUUUGUGACUUAACGUGUUUGUGUUAAACCACAGAGACAUGUGACCUAAGCAGUGCCUGCCAUACAACAGGAUGCAGCAGCAUUUAGAUCACCCAGGUCAACUAAACAAGGAAGAACUGGAUACAAUUAUUCCAAAAACCUCAGCUGAGGUGUAAUAAGUUGCCCUAGCCAACAAAUCCUCAUCCUUGCCCUAGAGGCUAUAGUUCAUCAGAUACCUUAAUUCACAGUUAUGCAGCAACUUCUAUCCUAUGACCACAAAAGCCUCUUACAGACUGUACAUACAGAAUAAUUCAUGCAUACAUGCAUGCAAUUCAGCAGAUGUAGCCACACUAAAGUUGAAAGCAAUGUUACAUUCUCGACUCUUAGUGAAGUUUGAGGACAUGCUUUUUUAAGCCAGAUUUCUUCCUUUAACCAAAGAAGCACCACACGCUAAGUGGUAUAAAUUUUCUUAUGCAGGGAAUAAGGUCCUAAUUAUUGCUUAAUUUUGCCAGUUCCUAUGAAUCACCAGGAAAAGAUUAAAGCAAGAGUAAAUGUUGGUUCCUUGUCCUGUUUACAGUAAUCAGCUCAAACAAAGUAACUUGAGUCACUUACAUCAUUAGAAGGUGCAUAUGGUUACAUUUUUCUCAUUAAGUUUGCACAGAAGAAAGGAGAUAGAUGCCUGCAGACAGAACUCCCUGCAAACAACUGUUAGUCUGAUGAAUUAAGGAAGUCUAAGAACUCCAUGCCUGCCUACUAAUGCAAUGCUCUUUUUCUGAAGAUUCAUAUUUGAGCUGUUCCCCAUGACAGGUAUGAGUAGGGUGGCAGUGGAGAGUUAAGAACAACGCAGACAAACAGAAAACUGAGCCUUGCACAGACCAACAGCCUUAUAUUUAUCAGCAGCCAAAGACUUCUGUGGUGCAGCCAAGUAGCCAAUAAGUGAAAACCACCACCUACCAACCUCCCCACUGCAAAGUAUGUUUUAUCCUGAAAGCUGGCUACUAAAUUCAUUUUCCAGGAGAGCCUUAACAUAGAGAGCAAGUAACACUAAACGUACUACAUCCUGCUGGCAUUCCUUUCAUCCCAUAGGAUAAUACAAACUAUUUAAAUCAAGUAUCUAUGCCUUUUUGCUCCAUCAUUCUUUUUCUUAAGUGUCCAGAUGUUUGAUUAUUCCUCUCAUUGGUUAGAAGGAAACUGAGCCAGAAAAUCAGGAUGAAUAGCACGAGGAUGAGUGGGCACCAUUUCAGAAAGUCUGUGCCUUAAACCCAUUAGUAUUCACAAUGUUCAAGUGCCGUGAUACUCAAUUCAUUUUAUUGCAAUAACAAAAUAGCCUGUUUUGCCAUUAUAAGUCAGAUAAUCAAGGAUGUAAGCAUUUUACCUCUAAAAGCUUGCACAGCUAUACCACCAGUUGGUCAUUAUGGGUGUGCAAUAGUACUUAAAUAUUUCUUUAAAAGGGAAGUCCAGGUUUUCUUCCCUUUUGGCUCAACUCUUAUUUACUGAAAAUUAAAGACAUGUUAUCUCCUUAAAAGAAAUUGACAAUUACGAUGCCUUGCAAAAAGAUCUGGCCUUUGAAGUACGAAAUUCUGUUCCAGUGAAAGAAAUGCAGAAUAGUUCACAAACUCAACCAUAUGAAUCUUCACAGAACUCUGGAAUUACAACCACAAAGAGGUGUCUUGGUGUAAUCACCCUAUCAGUCCAAUCUGAAUGUCAAAAAGAGAAAGCUGAAAAGUUUGGGUUCAAAUCUGGCCUGCUUACAGGUCGCGUUAUAAAAUACCUCCACAUUUAUUGUAAAAAACCUCAAAGCUCAUUACUGUUUUCUUUUUCCUGUAAAUAAUCCAUUUCACCCCUUUGCCCAGAAGCAACCAACUUAACAGUGGAAUGCAGCAGCUUGUUCCUAACACAACUAUAUUGAAGCAAAAAAAAAAAAAAAGCUAUAUGCAACCAGAUCUAAAAAGAAAAAACACAAUCAUUCACAUGAGAUUUUGAACAAGAUGAGGGCCCGCUCAGUUCUCCUCCUGGAGAAGAAAAUAUCCCUUGACUUCAGAAUGAAUGACGGGAGAGGUUUUUUGAUCUGUGCAAUGCUGGCAAGGCACAGCCUCGCCUAAGCGCAAUGCCUGGACACUGGCUUGCUCCCAAGCCUGUGAACAUCACAGGCUGAAGGCACAGAAGU